GGCCGGUUGGCCCAAUGGCAAGGCGUCUGACUACGAUUCAUAUCCAAAAAAAUCGUGCAAUCAGGAGAUUCUGGGUUCGACCCCCAGGCUGGUCA